AUGAACAAGGCUACGAUAAUAACUGAUGCAAUAGAUUACAUCGAGGAGCUACAGAAUACGGUGAGAGAUCUUAGUGACCAACUUUGUCAGAUGGACAUAACUCUUAAAGAGGACUUGGAAAGCCAAAAUAAAUACGUUACUGAUCCUGCAAAAGAAAUGAAGAACUGGGGAAUUGAGACAGAAGUUAAGGUUACUCGCCUUAAUGGAGCCAAGCUCUGGAUUCAAGUAGUUUUCCAGAAGAAAAUUGGAGGAUUUACUAAAUUGAUGGAGGCCAUUAGUGUCAUUGGAUAUGAUCCCAAAGAUGUUAGUGUUACUACGGUCAAAGGAGCACUUUGUGUUACUUCUUGCGUCGAGGCAAUUCAUGAUGGAUGUGUUGAAGUAGACCAAAUCAAAAAUUUCUUACUAGAGACCACCAGACGCAUAUAAUACAGUCACAGUGAUCAUUGUGUGAGCCCUCAGUUGCAUGUUUGUCUUGCAACCAGUUAAUAUCAAAUUAGAAUGAUCUUCAAAUAUCCCAAGAUGAAGUUCCAAAACAACGCAGGGUUUUAAUUCUGUUUUCUGCUUCCUAUCUGGAAUAUUUUAAGUGCUCAUUGGAGCUUCAGUCCAAAAAUCAUGUAAUUGCUUUUAACCUAAAUGAAAGAUGGAUAAUUGUAACGAUUCGAGUGCUUCCCGAGAUAGUUAUUGAAUUAUGAAACUUUAUAAGCAGAGAACUUUGAAGUAUACAAAAACACAAGAAGAGAUUUGGUUAGGCUAAAUCGAUAAUUGUAUACAUCUGUUUCUCAGUUUCUCUGCCUCAUGCUUGGGAUGAACCUCUCAAUGGAUUGUAGACCUUUAAUGGAUGCCAACAAACUGGUACUGCGAAAAGGUUUCCCAUUUCUCCCUUCUUUUGCCAUUUUCUCACUCCCGCAGAAAAUGUUCUGUAUAAGUGGGAUAAACAUGAAAGGAUCAACCUGAUCCAAAUUAAAUGACGUAUGAUAUUUUCCUUGGUUCUAUUGUGUGUGUAGCUAUGUAGUUAAUUGAUUCCUUUUCUAUCUUGAUGGUGAAAAAAAAAACACUAAUUCUACAUCCUAGAAAGGAUUGCAGGACUUAGAGACUCUGCGACAGACUUGGACGCACAUGAGAUGGUUUCAGCCACAGAGCUGCAGCGCACAUUUAUCUUUGUACUCCACGACCGCAGCAUGAAUUUUAUGGCUGCACAUUUAUCUUUGGUCAAUGCGGUUGCUUAUGGUUUCCCUGAUUUCAUGACCAAGAAGGAGCAAUUGUAUAUGACAGUAGACAUAAACAAGAAAAACUAACCUGCAAGGCAGAAAUUUCUUGCUUAUGAUAGGUUAUUACCAUUUACCAGCUUCCACUUGAUGGUCAUCUCUAAAGAUUGGUUUGAUUAUUUAGGACUGGAGAUUGUGUCAACUGCAUAGAGGACAUGACAUUUGCCCUUUUACCUGCACUUCCUGAGCAUUUUUUGGGGAGAAAGAAAACCACAUAGAGAUGGUGGGGGCUUUGGCAUGGAUCAUGAGCAUUUCUCCAUAUGCUACAGUGUAAAAUUAGAGAUUUAUCAAGUCGAAUGACAUUGAUUUAUUUCAAGGAAUUUAAGAGUUGACAAAACAUCACCAUCUUUGCAAUUCUUGAAGAGAGGGUUGACGAAGUUAAAGCUGGGCAUGCAAAUCCACGAACUCCACAAUCCAAGUAGAGAAUAUGUAAACAUAUAUAUCUCUGCAUCGGCAUAGGAAGAAC